AACUUAAAAUCCGACCUGCCGGAAUCGAACCAGCGACCUAAAGAUUACAGCUACUACUACAGUCUUCCGCUCUACCAACUGAGCUAAGGUCGGUACU
rnacentral:tRNA from 1 species